rnacentral:lncRNA from 1 species
GAAGAGUAUUAUAUUUUACAUUUCUUAUCUAAACUAUUUAUUAAAAUUUUAUAUUAAAGAUCAAAUCUUGAUCAUAUAGGUUAGAUGUGCUUUGAAAUUUAGUUAUCGACUUUAAUUUUGCGUUUCUGAUUUGUGGAUAGUUUUGAGAUACGAUAAAUUUAAAAAAAAAAAUUUGUGAAAAAAAAAUAAAUAUUUGUGUUAGGUAGCAAAAGGCUUA